rnacentral:rRNA from 1 species
UACGGAGGGUGCUAGCGUUGCUCGGAAUCACUGGGCGUAAAGAGCGUGUAGGCGGAAUGAAUAGUCGGAUGUGAAAGCCCCGGGCUCAACCCGGGAAGUGCAUACGAUACUGUCAUUCUUGAGGUCGAGAGGGGAGAGCGGAAUUCCUGGUGUAGCGGUGAAAUGCGUAGAUAUCAGGAAGAACACCUGUGGCGAAGGCGGCUCUCUGGAUCGAUUCUGACGCUGAGACGCGAAAGCUAGGGGAGCAAAC